AACAGAAGAGGCAGUUAAAAAAAAAUUCAGAGUCAGCUCAGAGACUGUUUGAAAACAAUUCCUGUCUCAGGAGACAGUUUUGUUUUCAUUAAUAGCCAAAUAUUCCUAAACAAAUGAAGGAAGAAUAAAGCCAGAUAAAGAAUAGAGUCAUUGUGAAAAUGCCUCUGGAACUCCUAUUUUAUAAGCACCACGUCAUUUAAGAAGCCAAUGUGAGAGACUUCUCCAUAGACAAAAGCAGCAGGACAUGCUUGAAAAUACAAAAGAUCUGGACGGGAUGCCUGGAAUUGCUGUAGCUAUCUUGUAUCCAAGAAGGAAGUAGCUUCUAAAGACAAGUGAUAGAACAAUGAGAAGAAACCUGAGUCCUCAAGGAACUUAUUGAGAUAAUUCACCAUAUCUUGCUGCAUCUGUAAGAUUUUCCUUCACUUAAACUAUUGGAACUUCCUGUUACUUGUAGCUGAAUACAAUCCACAAUAAAAAAGGGAAGAUUAUUUCCUGGCA
rnacentral:lncRNA from 1 species